AUUAUCAGUAUUUUAUUCUCAGCGGGAGUUUGGUGUAUGAAGGAGUUAACGUCCCCUCCCCCUCGCUGCUGGGCCACUCUGUGUUUCAUAUGCGUUACUGCGGCUUCACUUUGCGUGUCUGAGGGCCACUGAAGUAGCAUCUGGUGGGUCUAUACUGGAAACAACAUACACUGCUAGUGAACAAGUUCCAUUCAGUCUAAGACACAUCCUCUGAGUAAUCUGAAUGCUUUCAUCUUACCUGUAGACAAGAAGCAAAUACUCCCAGUCCUGCCCCUCUGUGAAAACUUUCUUUCUUUGUCCUUGUAUCUUUUCUAAUAAUUGAAUCACUGGAUUUAUUUUUUAUGUCUGUUUGUAAUGUAAAUGGAGUAAUGAAUUAGU